rnacentral:rRNA from 1 species
UGGGGAAUUUUGCGCAAUGGACGAAAGUCUGACGCAGCAACGCCGCGUGGGUGAAGAAGGCUCUUGGGUCGUAAAGCCCUUUUCUGAGGGAAGAAUAAAGACGGUACCUCAGGAAUAAGCACCGGCUAACUCCGUGCCAGCAGCCGCGGUAAUACGGAGGGUGCAAGCGUUGUUCGGAUUUACUGGGCGUAAAGGGCGUGUAGGCGGAAAUGCAAGCUGGGGGUGAAAGGCCAGGGCUCAACCUUGGACGGUCUCCCAGAACUGCAUGUCUAGAGAGAGUCAGAGGCAGGUGGAAUUCCUGGUGUAGAGGUGAAAUUCGUAGAGAUCAGGAGGAACACCGGCGGCGAAGGCGGCCUGCUGGGGCUUCUCUGACGCUGAGGCGCGAAAGCGUGGGGAGCAAACAGGAUUAGAUACCCUGGUAGUCCACGCUGUAAACGAUGAGCACUCGAUGUGCGGGGUACGACCCCCCGCGUGUCACAGCUAACGCAUUAAGUGCUCCGCCUGGGGACUACGGUCGCAAGACUA